UGUAAGCGUAUACCAAAGUUGUUGCAGUUAAAACGCUCGUAGUCGGACUUUGGCAGUUCCGGAUGUGUGCACGUCGUGUGCGCACUUCGCGGGGAUUGCUUUUGUGGUCUUGCGUAGGAUGAGGCACUUUUAUCAGUGAACGUCCUCACGCAACCACUUUUUACUGUGAGAAAAUCAGAGUGCUCAAAGCAGGCAUUUGCCGUGAAUGUAUUAGCAUGGAAUAAUAGAAUAGGACUUGGUUCUAUUUUGUUGGUUUGUUGGGACUGAGUAAUGAUUAAGAGGGACAGUUGGGGGCAUUUGUAUUUCGGUGCUAGAGGUGAAAUUCUUAGAUUACCGAAAGACAAACUGCUGCGAAAGCGUCUGCCAAGGAUGUUUUCAUUGA
rnacentral:rRNA from 1 species